UACGAAGAGGGCUAGCGUUGUUCGGAAUUACUGGGCGUAAAGCGUGCGCAGGCGGUUCGCUAAGACCGAUGUGAAAUCCCCCGGGCUUAACCUGGGAACUGCAUUGGUGACUGGCGGGCUAGAGUAUGGCAGAGGGGGGGUAGAAUUCCACGUGUAGCAGUGAAAUGCGUAGAGAUGUGGAGGAAUACCGAUGGCGAAGGCAGCCCCCCUGGGCCAAUACUGACGCUCAUGCACGAAAGCGUGGGGAGCAAACAGG
rnacentral:rRNA from 1 species